UUUCUUCAGGGUUGGGUGAAAUUCCCUAUCGGCGGUAAACCUGUACAUUCAGGCAAGCCCGCGAGCGAAAGCUGAUUCCGGUUAGAUUCCGGAGCCGACGGUUACAGUCCGGAUGGCAGAAGAG
rnacentral:ncRNA from 1 species